GCCAAAUUAGAAAGACUGUACAUGUGCUAUUAAAGCUUUGAUUCCAACUAAUUAAAUGCCAAAGUGCAUACAAAACAAACUAAAGUCUCUGUCUUUCUACAUAACUAUAUAUUAAUCCCUUUGAUAUUGGUCGCCCCUUGAUUCCUGAUUUCCACCACACCUUAGAUAACACGAGCAUAGAGCACCUGACUCUAAGUUGAGGAUGGAUAAAAUUUGUACAUUACAAAACAUGCAUCAUAAUAUGACUUGUGGCUGUAUGUGCAUGCUUUCACAUUGAAUGGUAUGACUCUCCCAUUCUUCUUCUUUCUGAAUUUGUCUGAAAACCUGCAAGUCGACCCUUCACCUCUGUAAACUCGUAAUACCACCACUUCAAUACAAUAAGUUUGGAACUUUCAGUUUUAAGAUCAAAUGCAAGUCCGUUAUGGACAAUAAACCUAUAGAUAACUAACUCCAUUGAUGCAAACCCACAUUUUUCACUAAAGCGGCAACAAAAUUUCCAUAAAUUCUGAAUCUACCUCCGACUAUAAAUUAAACUCCAAUUG
rnacentral:lncRNA from 1 species